rnacentral:rRNA from 1 species
CGAAAGGGUGACGAAGCGACGCCGCGUGUGGGAAGAAGGCCUUCGGGUUGUAAACCACUGUCAGGAGUUAAGAAGUGUAAUGAUACGAAUAGCGCCUUUACUUGACUAAGGCUCCAGAGGAAGCCACGGCUAACUCUGUGCCAGCAGCCGCGGUAAUACAGAGGUGGCAAGCGUUGUUCGGAAUUAUUGGGCGUAAAGAGCACGUAGGCGGUUCUGCAAGUCGGCUGUGAAAGCCUUCCGCUCAACGGAAGAACAGCAGUUGAUACUACAGGACUAGAGUGCGGGAGGGGAGAGUGGAACUUCUGGUGGAGCGGUGAAAUGCGUAGAUAUCAGAAGGAACGCCGGCGGCGAAAGCGACUCUCUGGCCCGUAACUGACGCUGAGUGUGCGAAAGCUAGGGGAGCAAACGGGAUUAGAUACCCCGGUAGUCCUAGCCGU